UACGAAGGGUGCAAACGUUGCUCGGAAUUAUUGGGCGUAAAGCGCACGUAGGCGGCUUAGCAAGUCGGAAGUGAAAUCCCUCGGCUCAACCAAGGAAGUGCUUUCGAAACUGCUGAGCUUGAGUAGUUAAGAGGAUCGCGGAAUUCCCGGUGUAGAGGUGAAAUUCGUAGAUAUCGGGAGGAACACCAGUGGCGAAGGCGGCGAUCUGGGAACAUACUGACGCUGAGGAGCGAAAGCGUGGGGAGCGAACAGG
rnacentral:rRNA from 1 species